rnacentral:misc_RNA from 1 species
AAGUCGUAACAGGGUUUCCGUAGGUGAACCUGCGGAAGGAUCAUUACCUUCUAUAUCGGGGGGCCGGAAUACUGGAAGUUUAGGGCCCUAGAGGUUUCUUUCCCACUCUUUCACCCGCCCCUGUCUGAAUAUACCCAUGUCUUUUGCGUACGAUUUGUUUCCUUGGUGGGCUUGCCCGCCAAUAGGACAUUUAUAUAACCCUUUGUAAUUGCAGUCAGCGUCAGAAAACAAACAAUAAUUACAA